AGUUACAAAAAUACAACCGGAACGACAAAUAAACAUACAAACAAGAAGUGCGUGUAUAAAAACUUGGGAAAAUAAAACUGUAUUCCUAAACAUUAUUUUGUAACUGUCAAGUCCAAGUGAAGUGAUUUGAUGAACGAAAUCUUCGGUGAACGCUUUAGAGGUGGGCUGUGACAGAACUUGCCUUUAGUAACAUCAAAUUAACUGUAACUCAAAUAAUAAUUUAGCUAAUUAAAGGAUUUAAAAUUACAAAUAGUGUAUGGAAUACAUCCUCGAGACUGGUUAAAAUACCUACAUCUGGAAGGUCCCAAUCCGUUAUUAUUUGAUUUUUGGCUGUAUGAGAUGAUACCUUUGCUACCAUACGAGAAGAAAAAGAUUUGUUUCCAUUAGUUAGUUUACAAUUUGAAAGUUUGUGUUAAGUGUGGUGUUGUGUUAAUAUUAAUUAUUAUUUCAUAAAAAUUCGUUGUACGUGCUAUGAUUAAGAGUUUAAGUGCCCUUUGGUGACUUUCUGGUGAAUUUACUAACAAUGUGAUAUUCAAUCAAUGUUUAUUAUAGAAAACAUGAACACUGCUUAACAGAUUGUUGACAAACGGCUGCAGCGAGUUGUACGUGACCCCAGCCCCGCCCGGGUCCAGCCCCGGCCGGCUGGUCUCCACGUCCUCGCGUCACUCCUCACGUCUGCUCGUGUUCGUCCAUGACUCUCACGCCAGUGCCAGCAGCAGCUCCACACGAGCUGUUCCCAUGUGUGCUCGUGCUCUGUGAACACGUGUGAGGAAACCUUCUGCUAUUGAAACCUGCGCGAGUCUAAUUAACGAAUCUUAUUCUGAGAAUAUUUUAACAAUUUCAAUGAGUUAUAGUGUAACAAUGCUAAUUAAUAACAUCAGAUGUAAUUAGAAAUUAUUUGAAUGAGAAGCAAGACUACACGGGUUUGUUUUAUUUUAACGGUUACUUAAUAAGUUUUUGUGUUAAAACUAACGCGAACUUGAUAUUAUCGCGGUCUUGUGAGUAAUACCGAACAAUAUCGAUCUUCAAUUAACAAUUGAAACGUGACUCAAUUCAACUAGUCUGAUAGGAGUGUGGAAGAUGUUAAACAAGCGGUCAGCUGAAAGCAGACGACUUUUAGUUUGAGUUUGAAACAAAUAAAAUAUAUAUUAUUACAAGUAAAUAUUACAACGGCUACAAGUCAAGUUAUCUGCAACAACCUUUAGAGGCUAUAACAGUGUCUCAUAUUACACAAGUUUGAAGUAAUUAGAAUUAGCAGUACCCGGAGCCGCGAGGUGGCGCGGGCGGUGCAGCGGCGCGGCUAACAGCGCUCAUAUUAUGCUAAUUACAAUUAUUAAUGUAACACAAGCAAUAUUAUGCUAAUCACGAUAUUAAUGUAACACAAGCAAUUAAGUAGCGCGUUAACCCCGGCCGGCGGGGCCCGGGGCCGCGAGCCCGGGGCCCGCGGGGCCCAUUGACGGGCUGCCGUGAAUGAGUCGCACGCGCGUGUCAGUGUGUGCGUGACACCAACACCUCGCUACACUUUGUGCCAACUUCAGAAUACCCGAUGUAUGAGCUCCAACUGACACAACGUGCUUCAGCGGACAUCUGUCAUUUUAUGGAUAUCGAUACUGGGCAUGAUAAUAAUCAGCUCCCUGCAGGAAAGCAUUAGUCUAUAUCGAAAAAUGAUAUCGUAUAUCCGACACGAAUUAUCAUCAGCCCAUCACAAUUUGUGGUAAACAAAGUUUAGUUUAGGAGAGUUAACUGACUUGAAUGUUUUAAGAUUCUCUGAAGCCAAAGUAAUUAGUAAAGGUAAUAAUAGGACCCAGUCUAAAUAUAGUGUAAGCAGUAAGUUGUUGUUUAAAUAUUUUGAGCACUGUGUCAAAUAAUGAUAAUAAUUGGCAAAAAUAUUGUUCGAUGGUAAGCAGCCGUCCUCGGUGAAGCACAUUGUAACGAGGUCCCGCAGAGCGGAGACGGCCGCGCCCGGCCGAGUCGCUCUCAUCAGUAUGCACGCGUUAUUACUGUAAUAAGUGUGUUAUGCCGCUCUUCAUUAUAAUAUAUUAAAUUAAAGCGAUAAUAACAAUGCACGUGUUACAGAUAACGCGUGUACUCGUGUCCCUCGCUGUGCGAGAGGUAGAAAUCAAGGAAAUGCCAAUAAUACAAGUGAUCACUUAGGAGAGCUGUAACUAAAAUAUGUUAAUCUGUUAACAUAUCACAAUAACCAGCUAGGAAGAAAAAGGUGACACAUCAGAUUCAUGAGGCUUUAU